GAAGCUGUAAGCUCCAGAAGGGCUAGAAUCUGCCAGGCUCCACACUCUAUCUCCGACAUUUGGUUCAGAGCCCAGCACGAGGCAGUCACUUGGUGAGUGUUAGAAUGACUGAAUCUGGGGUGACCUGUCUUUAAACAUGCUGAGAUGGGGUAACAGGUAAUUAUUUUGUUAGUUUUUACAAUUUUCUCAUUUUUAAACAAUAUGUUUUCUUUAUGUAAUAAAGAAAAAAAGUGAAAUUCUUUUAUACCAACUUUAUGUGCUAUUGUAAGUCACUGCAGUAAGGCAGCAAGAGGCCUGUAGGAGAAUUAUGUUACUAAAUUCUGGUUUGGCUCCUUGCUGUUAGAAAGCCAGUACUUGAGAGGCAAGUGUAGGUUGGAAAAGGAAAGUUUUACUCAGAAGGCUGGCGACCUGGAAGUACCUGCCCCAGAACCAAUUCCUCUGAAGACUCUGCUUGGCCAUGAAAGAUUUUAAAGGUAAAAAGAGGAAGGAAUCUCAGAUCAUCAUUGAGGGAGGGGGUCAGAUUAUUUGCCAUCCCCCACUGGCUUGUGGUGUCCUUGUAAUCUCUUAAACGCUAUCCUGUUCCCACCGUCUGCUCUCGAGAUUACUGAAGGGGCAGCUGGAAGAUCUAGUCAUGUGUUCAUUAUGCAUUCUUCAUUUCCACGUCUUUAAGAAUUAACAGGUUAGGCGAGGCGUUGUGUGAGCAAAAGUUUUGAAAGGGUGUGCUUGGGUCAGAGGUUAGUUAAGCCUCAGGCAUCUGGUGUAAGGGUUAGUCAAAAUGUAGCUUUGCUCAAGUGACAAGACAAAAGGCCUCCUGCUGAGAGCUGCUUCCUGCAAAGAGUUGCUUAUACUCCACGUUUUAUUUUGCUGGAACUUUGGAGUAGAUUAGAGGUUUUCAGUAGGGAGUGAUGACCCCUAGAAGAGACUUCUGGAGAUGUUUGGAGACACAUUUUUGUGUGUUUGUUUUGUUUUCUCCAUUGAGGAGGUGCUAAAUGGUACCUAAUGUGCUAGAUGGAGGAUGAGGAUACCUCUGAAUAUCCUACAACACACAGGAGAGCCUCCUCCUUUAAGGAAAACCAUCCAGUCUGAAAUGUUAACAGUGCCAAGUUGGAGAAAAUUUCGCUUCCGUGGAGACUUCUAUAGAAAGUAAGUGUGUAACUUUCUAUAGAAACUGACCAAGCUGCUAAAUGAUGGGACACCAGAAUUUUAAAAACUAAUAAGAUCUGUUGUGAUUUUUAAAAAGUUUGGGUGAUUUGUAUUUGUGGGAAGACUUGCUGGUUGUUUAGUAGAAAUGUGUAUUUAAUGUAGGAUAUUCACUCCUAUUGUCUGUGUCAGUAGAACACUCUGUAGUGUGCUUUGCAGGCAUUGCCCUUUACAGAGGUUUGAAGUGGUUUGAAAAAAAAAAAGUGUCAAAUGACUGCUUGUUUGCACACUUCUAAAUGCCCAAUUUGACAGAGUUUGUUUAAGAGAGCCGUUUACGAGUCAAUUUAGCUAAAACUGUUAGGCAGAGCAUACAAAUAACCAUUUUGCUUACAGAUUGUUGUUUUUAUAGCACUGGACUAAUAAAACAGAAAUAAGGUAGGGCUCUUUAGUGUUUAUGAGGCUUGGUCUAUUUAAAUCUGAGUUUAACAUCUGGGAGCAUAUCAGCCAGGAGAGGGUAGCUUAUGCUACAGUGACAGCAUCUCAGUGGCUUAACCCAACCAAGGUCAAUGUCAUUUUUGGAGUCCACUGGGCAUCUGGGUAACUCUUCCAGGUGACUGUCUCUGAGUGACAACUCAGCCUUCCAGGCUGGGGAAAUUGCUAUCUUGGAACACAGGACCUUAUUAGGCACGUGGCAGGGAAGUGGCAACAGAGGACACUGCCUGUUAGAUCUUUAGUGCUCUCACCUGGAAGGGACGUAGGUGACAACCAGUAACAUUUACUGACCCAGCAAAUUACACAGCCAGAUUUAGGCACUCGGGGAAAUGUAAUUCUCCAAUGUUGCGUAGGAGACGCAGGAAUAUUUCCGAGUGUGAGCAAUAUCUAUCCUAACUAGGUCUAGUAUUUGUUUCCCUUGAUAUGUGACUCUUCAGGGUGGUUAUGAAGAAGGCAUUUUGCUAAGUGCAAUGAUGCCAUCUCUCACACCAAAUUAGCCUCAUUUCAUUACGCUCAUUUGGGGGAGGGUCUGUAUUUAUAUGUCACUCCAUGUAUUUGUCAUUUACUUCUACAUGUUUGGGCUGCUAAAUGAGAGUCUGUACCAGAUGCUACAGUCUCUGGUUUCUCAGGUGGGCUAACAUCGCCCACAGGGUCCUGAAUGCUCACGGAUGAUGGCGGUGGCCUUUGCAUUUUACAUAAUGUUAAGUCAUCCCAACAUUAUUUUUGUGGUAAAACAAAAAUAAGCAUAUCUUGAAAUGCAAUAAAAAGAGGCAUUUUAAGGUAAAAUAUGAGGCCUCAAUUAACUUUUAUGCUGAAGCAGGUGGCUUCUAGCCAUGUCCCAGUGGAAUGUAUGUACUUUCCUCUGCAACCAAGAUGACCUCACUGGAUAGGGUACUGCUUAUGUACCUCAUUUUGUGACUCAACUUUGAUUGGGCUCUUUUCUUAGUUGUCUUGUGUUGAAAAUGACCAUGUUUUGAAAGUGGAGCUUCUUCAGCAACCCAUUGUUAAUGGUCGUCAUGACAAUGGGGUUAUCUUUUGCAGAGAGGCGUUCAGAAUUUCCAUUCUGUGUCCUACCGGCAGUUUGGUAGGAGAAACGCUAAUGAAACUGAUAGCUGGGUUCAUAACUGAUCGCUAGACCAUCUCACAGAACUGUGAGACGAUAUGGAGCUACAUCCAACUCUUAGCACUUUACCAGCUGAUGGGCUAUUUAUGGUUCUCAUUACCUCUAGCUUCUAGAGUCUGGAUUCGUUCAUUCAUCAAACAAGCUGCGAGCAUCUAGUCUCCAUGGCUGGCACUGUGCUAGGAGCUGGGGGUUUUAGGACAAGAUGAAUGAGAUGGUUUCUACCCUCAGAAACGUUGGGUCUGGGACAGGAUGGCUGCAGGGGUUCUGAAAUCUUUCAUUCACUUCACUUGCAUUUAUUGAGCACUGGUGUGUGACAGGCACUCCGCAAUACCGCAGUGAACAAGAAUCUGUAGCAUGUAGAAUUUAAAAGCCAGACAACCUGGAAUCACAUUGCCUUUGGGGGCCUCAUGGAGGCUUUGUAGCCGCAUUAUAUCCCAUUUUUCUCAUAUAUUGAAGGGAUACCAAAUUUACUGGUAUUAUGGAGUUGUUAGGAAGUUCAUGAGUUAGUAUAUGGGAAUCACUGUAUGACGUUGAGCUCCUACUAUUAUUCCUCACAUUUUUCCCUCGUGCUCUACUCUCUCCUCAAAUCUAUAUUCUUUCCCAUCUCUCCUUUUCAUUCUCUUGGACCAGGCAGUUUCAUGCAUUAAUCAUCAAUUUGAAUAUUGUAGUUUAUCAGUGACCUGUUAAAAAUAUUGCUUACUUAAACAAAACAAAACAGUAAGGAGUUCCUGGUUGGUGACGUAGGUUAAGUAUCUGGUGUUAGCACCACUGUGGCUCAGGUUGCUGCUAUGGUGCCAGUUCAAUGCCUGGUCCAGGAACUUCUGCAUGCCACAGGUGUGGCC
rnacentral:lncRNA from 1 species